UAUGAAGGGGCUAGCGUUGUUCGGAAUUACUGGGCGUAAAGCGCACGUAGGCGGACAUUUAAGUCAGGGUGAAAUCCCAGAGCUCAACUCUGGAACUGCCUUUGAUACUGGGUGUCUAGAGUAUGGAAGAGGUAAGUGGAACUGCGAGUGUAGAGGUGAAAUUCGUAGAUAUUCGCAAGAACACCAGUGGCGAAGGCGGCUUACUGGUCCGACACUGACGCUGAGGCGGCGAAAGCUAGGGAGCAAACGGG
rnacentral:rRNA from 1 species